UACGGGGGGAGCAAGCGUUGUUCGGAUUUACUGGGCGUAAAGGGCGCGUAGGCGGCCAGCACAAGUCAGUUGUGAAAUCUCCGAGCUUAACUUGGAAAGGUCAACUGAUACUGUGCGGCUAGAGUGCGGAAGGGGCAACUGGAAUUCUUGGUGUAGCGGUGAAAUGCGUAGAUAUCAAGAGGAACACCUGCGGCGAAGGCGGGUUGCUGGGCCGACACUGACGCUGAGGCGCGAAAGCGUGGGGAGCAAACAGG
rnacentral:rRNA from 1 species